rnacentral:rRNA from 1 species
UACAGAGGAGCCAAGCGUUGUCCGGAUUGACUGGGCGUAAAGCGCACGCAGGCGGAUGCGCGCGUGGGGUGUGAAAUCUGGCCGCUUAACGGCCAGGCGCCAUCCCAUACGGCGCGUCUGGAGUGAUGCAGAGGUCGGUGGAAUUGCCGGUGUAGUGGUGAAAUGCGUAGAGAUCGGCAGGAACACCCAGGGGAAACCGAGCCGACUGGCAUGCUACUAGACGCUGA